rnacentral:rRNA from 1 species
AUUGAACGCUGGCGGCAUGCCUUACACAUGCAAGUCGAACGGUAACAGGUCUUCGGAUGCUGACGAGUGGCGAACGGGUGAGUAAUACAUCGGAACGUGCCCGAUCGUGGGGGAUAACGAAGCGAAAGCUUUGCUAAUACCGCAUACGAUCUACGGAUGAAAGCAGGGGACCGCAAGGCCUUGCGCGAACGGAGCGGCCGAUGGCAGAUUAGGUAGUUGGUGGGAUAAAAGCUUACCAAGCCGACGAUCUGUAGCUGGUCUGAGAGGACGACCAGCCACACUGGGACUGAGACACGGCCCAGACUCCUACGGGAGGCAGCAGUGGGGAAUUUUGGACAAUGGGCGAAAGCCUGAUCCAGCCAUGCCGCGUGCAGGAUAAAGGCCUUCGGGUUGUAAACUGCUUUUGUACGGAACGAGAAGACUCUGGUUAAUACCUGGGGUCCAUGACGGUACCGUAAGAAUAAGCACCGGCUAACUACGUGCCAGCAGCCGCCGUAAGAC